ACUGGAAAGAAGAGAAAAAAGAAAUAAUGCUGCAGCAAACAGUUUUUCUGAAAGAAGGUGAACUGAAGGCCAAAUAUACUGAGUACCGGGGUCCUGUUCAAUACUUGCUGAAGGCUGCCACAGAUGCAUGGUUCAUGGAGGAAAGAAGAGGCAAGGUCUGAGAAAAGACGGCAGCAACAGUUCAUGCCCAGUAUAAUGGUGUAAAGUGGGGCCAUAUCUGAAAAGAAUUUUC
rnacentral:lncRNA from 1 species